UACGGGGGGGGCAAGCGUUGUUCGGAAUUACUGGGCGUAAAGGGCUCGUAGGCGGCCAACUAAGUCAGACGUGAAAUCCCUCGGCUUAACCGAGGAACUGCCGUCCAAACUGCUUCGCUUGAGACCGGGAGAGGUGGAGUGGAAUUCCCAGUGUAGCGGUGAAAUGCGUAGAUAUUGGGAGGAACACCAGUGGCGAAGGCGGCUCACUGGACCGGUACUGACGCUGAUGCGCGAAAGCGUGGGGAGCAACGGG
rnacentral:rRNA from 1 species